rnacentral:tRNA from 1 species
GUCCCUAUCGUCUAGCCUGGCCUAGGACACCAGAUUUUCAUUCUGGCGACACGGGUUCGAAUCCCGUUAGGGACGCCA